rnacentral:rRNA from 1 species
AUUGAACGCUGGCGGCAUGCUUUACACAUGCAAGUCGAACGGCAGCACGGACUUCGGUCUGGUGGCGAGUGGCGAACGGGUGAGUAAUACAUCGGAACGUACCCAGUCAUGGGGGAUAACUAUCCGAAAGGAUAGCUAAUACCGCAUACGCCCUACGGGGGAAAGAGGGGGAUCGCAAGACCUCUUGUUAUUGGAGCGGCCGAUGGCUGAUUAGCUAGUUGGUAGGGUAAAGGCCUACCAAGGCAACGAGCAGUAGCGGGUCUUAGAGGACGAUCCGCCACACUGCAACUGUGACACGGUCCAGACUCCUACGGGAGGCAGCAGUGGAGAAGCUUGGACAAUGGGUGCAAGCCCGAUUCACCGAUGCCGCGUGCGUGAAGAAGGCCUUCGGGUUGUAAAGCGCUUUUGUCAGUGAGCAAAUCCUUGUGGCUAAUACCCACCGGGGAUGAGAGUACCUGAAGAAUAAGGACCGGCUAACUACGUGCCAGCCGCCGCAGUAA